CCUCAUAACGACCCAUUGAUCGUGGAGGCUCACAUAGCCAACUUUGAUGUUCGACGAAUCCUCGUAGACAUAGGGGCUUCGGUCAAUAUCAUGUUUGCCGAAGCUUUCAGGGCACUCAGUGUAGCUGAACACUUGCUCGAUCGCUCGAUUUCUCCUCUGAUAAGCUUCUCCGGUGAUAUCGUGCAACCCUCAGGGAGCAUACAUUUACCCUUUACUAUUGGUACAGGCCCUUACACGGCUACUAUUACCACUAACUUCCUAGUGGUUGACUGCCCAACGGCAUACAAUGU
rnacentral:lncRNA from 1 species